UCUCCGUUGGUGAACCAGCGGAGGGAUCAUUACCGAGUUUACAACUCCCAAACCCAAUGUGAACCAUGCCAAACUGUUGCCUCGGCGGGGUCACGCCCCGGGUGCGUCGCAGCCCCGGAACCAGGCGCCCGCCGGAGGGACCAACCAAACUCUUUCUGUAGUCCCCUCGCGGACGUUAUUUUUACAGCUCUGAGCAAAAAUUCAAAAUGAAUCAAAACUUUCAACAACGGAUCUCUUGGUUCUG
rnacentral:misc_RNA from 1 species